rnacentral:tRNA from 1 species
GCGAAAGUGGCGGAAUUGGCAGACGCGCUAGACUUAGGAUCUAGUGGCUCACGCCGUGGGGGUUCGAGUCCCCCCUUUCGCA